GAAGGAACUCCCACUGGCUAAAUCUGGGUCAAUUUGAGUGCUAAACAAGUACAUUAAUGAACUGUGAACCACUGGAAGGAAAAUGAAUCAUGAGUAGAAUGUCAAGUGCCAACUGGUAAAUGUAGGAUUGCUGGAGUUGGCAGCUUAUCAUUCUGCAACCAUUGUGUUAAGGAUUGGAUCAGGCAAGAAUCAUCAAAGGAUCCUAAAUCUAGGGGCAGUUUCAAUGAGGAGCCAGGAUAUUUGCAUGCCUUCCACAUAUCUCAAGGGAAAAGUUAGUAAUUAUAAAAUGGGAAAAAUGGACACCUUGACCAGGUAAUAAAAGUUAACAUUAUUAAAGAAGGACACAUGGAAAUCCAUGAUACCUAGAGAAGGACACAUAACUAAUAUAGUACUAUAUUCCAG
rnacentral:lncRNA from 10 species